rnacentral:sRNA from 1 species
GCAGAUAACAAAUUUCCUCGGUUUCUUCCCGCAGCUUCUCUCGGCAACUCUCUCGCGCGGGUUUCCUUACAAACUCUUCACGGACCACGGCGGCCUCAACGAGAAGCGCAAGCAGCGGCGCAUCCGCACCACUUUCACCAGUGCGCAGCUCAAAGAGCUGGAGAGGGUCUUCGCGGAGACUCACUACCCCGACAUCUACACUCGGGAGGAGCUGGCCCUGAAGAUCGACCUCACAGAGGCGCGAGUCCAGGUGUGGUUCCAGAACCGCCGCGCCAAGUUUCGCAAGCAGGAGCGCGCAGCGGCAGCCGCAGCGGCCGCGGCCAAGAACGGCUCCUCGGGCAAAAAGUCUGACUCUUCCAGGGACGACGAGAGCAAAGAGGCCAAGAGCACUGACCCGGACAGCACUGGGGGCCCAGGUCCCAAUCCCAACCCCACCCCCAGCUGCGGGGCGAAUGGAGGCGGCGGCGGCGGGCCCAGCCCGGCUGGAGCUCCGGGGGCAGCGGGGCCCGGGGGCCCGGGAGGCGAACCCGGCAAGGGCGG